rnacentral:rRNA from 1 species
UCAACGGAGAGUUUGAUCCUGGCUCAGGACGAACGCUGGCGGCGUGCUUAACACAUGCAAGUCGAACGGUGAAGCUCCAGCUUGCUGGAGUGGAUCAGUGGCGAACGGGUGAGUAACACGUGAGCAACCUGCCCCAAACUCUGGAAUAAGCGCUGGAAACGGCGUCUAAUACUGGAUACGAGACCAACCUGCAUGGGUAUGGUUUGGAAAGUUUUUCGGUUUGGGAUG